UACGAAGGGUGCAAGCGUUGCUCGGAAUUAUUGGGUUUAAAGGGUGCGUAGGCGGCCCUGUAAGUCAGUGGUGAAAUGCUCUAGCUUAACUAGAGAGGUGCCAAUGAUACUGCAGGGCUUGAGUACAGAUGAGGUAGGCGGAAUUGACGGUGUAGCGGUGAAAUGCGCAGAUAUCAGGAGGAACACCGGUGGCGAAGGCGGGUCGCUGGACAGUUCCUGACGCUGAGGCACGAAGGCCAGGGGAGCAAACGGG
rnacentral:rRNA from 1 species